GCAUAUCAAUAAGCGGAGGAAAAGAAACUAACAAGGAUUCCCCUAGUAACGGCGAGUGAAGAGGGAAGAGCUCAAAUUUUAAAUCUGCCUUGUUUCAAGGUCGAGUUGUAAUUUGAAGAAGCGUUUUCUUGGGCUCGCGGCCGGUAGAAGUUCUUUGGAACAGGACAUCAUAGAGGGUGACAAUCCCGUCUGCGACCGGUCGUGCGUUCAUCUACGAUACGCUUUCAAAGAGUCGAGUUGUUUGGGAUUGCAGCUCCAAACGGGUGGUAAACAUCACCUAAGGCUAAAUAUUGGCGAGAGACCGAUAGCGAACAAGUACCGUGAGGGAAAGAUGAAAAGAACUUUGAAAAGAGAGUUAAACAGUACGUGAAAUUGUUGAAAGGGAAACGAUUGAAGUCAGUCGUGCUGGCGCGAAAUCAACCCUCUCGUCGUGAGAUCACAUGCUGUGGUGAGCCUCAAAACCGCCACAGCGUGUGACCUCCAACGAGAGGGAGCACUUUCGUGUCCGCUGGUUAACAUCAAUUUCGAUCGUCAUAAAAAGGCUGGAGGGAUGUGGCUCCUUCGGGAGUGUUAUAACCUUUAGCGGAAUGUGGUGGUCGGGAUUGAGGAUUGCAACGAAUACCUUCGGGGCUGUUCCACCUGGCCUCUCUUUGGUAUCCUGGUGACGACAGCUUGCUGACGUCGUUAGGAUUCGCCUUUGAACAGGCUAGAGUGUGAGCAAAUUCGUUAAGGAUGUUGACGUA
rnacentral:rRNA from 1 species